UACGUAGGUGGCAAGCGUUGUCCGGAAUUAUUGGGCGUAAAGCGCGCGCAGGCGGUCCUUUACGUCUGAUGUGAAAGCCCACGGCUCAACCGUGGAGGGUCAUUGGAAACUGGGGGACUUGAGUACAGAAGAGGAAAGCGGAAUUCCACGUGUAGCGGUGAAAUGCGUAGAGAUGUGGAGGAACACCAGUGGCGAAGGCGGCUUUCUGGUCUGUAACUGACGCUGAGGCGCGAAAGCGUGGGGAGCAAACAGG
rnacentral:rRNA from 1 species